UGGUGUGAGAUGGACCCGCGUCUGAUUAGCCAGUUGGCGGGGUAACGGCCCACCAAAGCGACGAUCAGUAGCCGGCCUGAGAGGGUGAACGGCCACAUUGGGACUGAGACACGGCCCAAACUCCUACGGGAGGCAGCAUG
rnacentral:rRNA from 1 species